rnacentral:lncRNA from 1 species
UUUGGCCAUUUUUUUAAUAAAUAUUGUCUUAUUAUUACUUGCUGCACAUGUCCUAUCUUAUGAAUGCGAUAAUUAGAAAUUAAGAUAAGAUGUAUUCGUAAAAAUAUUUAAAGGAUAAAAAUGUAUUUUUGCAACACAUCUCUACUACUUUUUUAUUAGUAAUUUUAUAGAUUAAAUUGAACAACAAAAAUAAAUACAAAAACAAAAUUGAC